UGGGGAAUCUUCCGCAAUGGACGAAAGUCUGACGGAGCAACGCCGCGUGAGUGAUGAAGGAUUUCGGUCUGUAAAGCUCUGUUGUUUAUGACGAACGUGCAGUGUGUGAACAAUGCAUUGCAAUGACGGUAGUAAACGAGGAAGCCACGGCUAACUACGUGCCAGCAGCCGCGGUAAUACGUAGGUGGCGAGCGUUGUCCGGAAUUAUUGGGCGUAAAGAGCAUGUAGGCGGCUUAAUAAGUCGAGCGUGAAAAUGCGGGGCUCAACCCCGUAUGGCGCUGGAAACUGUUAGGCUUGAGUGCAGGAGAGGAAAGGGGAAUUCCCAGUGUAGCGGUGAAAUGCGUAGAUAUUGGGAGGAACACCAGUGGCGAAGGCGCCUUUCUGGACUGUGUCUGACGCUGAGAUGCGAAAGCCAGGGUAGCGAACGGG
rnacentral:rRNA from 3 species